AAAAAUUUAGUUAAAAGAAUAACAUCAACAUGUCAAGUUGAAAUUACCUUUAGGUAAUUUUUU
rnacentral:tRNA from 1 species